CGGUAAUUCCAGCUCCAAUAGCGUAUAUUAAAGUUGUUGCAGUUAAAAAGCUCGUAGUUGGACUUCUGGGUUGGGCGGCGGUCCGCCGAAAGGUGUGCACUGCCUGUCUGGCCCAUCCUUCCGGGAGCCGCGUGAAAGUAACACUUUGCGUGAUUGCCGGGACCUUUACUUUGAAAAAAUCAGAGUGUUCAAAGCAGGCCUUCGCUUGAAUACGAUAGCACGGAAUAAUGGAAUAGGACUACGGUCUUAUUUUGUUGGUUUCUAGGACCGAAGUAAUGAUUAAUAGGGACAGUUGGGGGCAUUAGUAUUUUGUUGUCAGAGGUGAAAUUCUUAGAUUUGCAAAAGACUAACUUCUGCGAAAGCAUUUGUCAAGGAUGUUUUCAUUAAUCAAGAACGAAAGUUAGGGUAUCGAAGACGAUCAGAUACCGUCGUAGUCUUAACCAUAAACUAUGCCGACUAGGGAUCAGUAGGGAUCUUCAACGACUCUAUUGGCACCUUGUGAGAAAUCAAAGUUUUCGGGUUCUGGGGGGAGUAUGGUCGCAAGGCUGAAACUUAAAGGAAUUGACGGAAGGGCACACAAGGCGUGGAGCCUGCGGCUUAAUUUGACUCAACACGGGGAAACUCACCAGGUCCAGACACAGUAAGGAUUGACAGAUUGAGAGCUCUUUCUUGAUCCUGUGGAUGGUGGUGCAUGGCCGUUUUUAGUUGGUGGAGUGAUUUGUCUGGUUGAUUCCGUUAACGAACGAGAUCUUAACCUGCUAAAUAGACGUGUCGAUUCUUGAUCGGCACGAGCUUCUUAGAGGGACUAUUGGUAUCGAGCCAAUGGAAGUUUGAGGCAAUAACAGGUCUGUGAUGCCCUUAGAUGUUCUGGGCCGCACGUGCGCUACAAUGAUCAGGUCAGCGAGCUUACAACCUUCUCCGGAAGGAGCGGGGAAUCUUCUGAACCCUGAUCGUGCUGGGGAUUGAUCUUUGCAAUUUUCGAUCAUGAACGAGGAAUGCCUAGUAAGUGCGAUUCACCAAAUCGCAUUGACUUCGUAACUGCCCUUUGUACACACCGCCC
rnacentral:rRNA from 1 species